rnacentral:rRNA from 1 species
GACGAACGCUGGCGGCGUGCUUAACACAUGCAAGUCGAACGGAAAGGCCCUGCUUUUGUGGGGUGCUCGAGUGGCGAACGGGUGAGUAACACGUGAGUAACCUGCCCUUGACUUUGGGAUAACUUCAGGAAACUGGGGCUAAUACCGGAUAGGAGCUCCUGCUGCAUGGUGGUGGUUGGAAAGUUUCGGCGGUUGUGGAUGGACUCGCGGCUUAUCAGCUUGUUGGUGGGGUAGUGGCUUACCAAGGCUUUGACGGGUAGCCGGCCUGAGAGGGUGACCGGCCACAUUGGGACUGCGAUACGGCCCAGACUCCUACGGGAGGCAGCAGUGGGGAAUAUUGCACAAUGGGCGGAAGCCUGAUGCAGCAACGCCGCGUGCGGGAUGACGGCCUUCGGGUUGUAAACCGCUUUCGCCUGUGACGAAGCGUGAGUGACGGUAAUGGGUAAAGAAGCACCGGCUAACUACGUG